CCGCUUGAUUUUUAAAAAAUGUGAUAACCUAACUUGCAGUGAAAUUUAGCUCGAUCCAGAUUCCAGAACAAAGAAAAAGAGUCUUGUAUAAAAAUCCACAGAUCCAAUGUGUCUGAGGUUGAGGAAUGCAUUGCAGUAACACCAGCUCAAAAAGAUGGACCAAGAUAUAAAAAGAUUGCGUUCAUUGGCAUAUGAUAUAAGGUCUUGCUGUAUUGCUGUAAAUUCUAAAUGUAUUAAGAGACCUGAAACCAACACAAGACCAACUGAUCAGAGGGCAGAAAACCAAAAUUUGGAAUGACAUGUAUACAACCAACACAAGACUAAAAUUUGGAAUAAAAAUAAAAAAAAUUCAGAAACAUAU